rnacentral:rRNA from 1 species
UGGGGAAUUUUACACAAUGGGGGAAACCCUGAUGUAGCGACACCGCGUGAGCGAAGAAGCCCUUUGGGGUGUAAAGCUCUGUCAGCAGGGACGAAAAAAAUGACGGUACCUGCAGAGGAAGCAUCGGCUAACUACGUGCCAGCAGCCGCGGUAAGACGUAGGAUGUGAGCGUUGUCCGGAUUUAUUGGGCGUAAAGAGUUCGUAGGUGGUUCACUAAGUUUGGUGUAAAGACGGGGGCUCAACCCUCGGAUCGCACUGAAUACUGGUGGACUGGAGUGAGGUAGAGGCAAGCGGAAUUCCCAGUGUAGCGGUGAAAUGCGUAGAUAUUGGGAAGAACACCGGUGGCGCAAGCGGCUUGCUGGGCCUUAACUGACGCUGAGGAACGAAAGCUAGGGGAGCGAAUGGGAUUAGAUAGGUAGUC